AGUAGAGAAAAGUUGUACUGAAAAAUGAAUAUGCGUCCCGAUCUUACAGUUAUGGUCGCACCCACCGUCUACGACUAUCAUAAAUUCUAAUAAAACCCCCUAUCGCUUCAAUAAGCACAUUUGUUUUUUUUUUUAUAAGCGGCAAUACUUCCAUUGUGGCACCACGGUACAUUUUCAACGGAUUCUAUGCGACAGCCCUGUAACUCAUUGCACCGUUAAUGACACGGAUUUACCUGCAAUUCUUCUCUCGUGACUAACUGCACCAUUAGAAUAAGUGUAGAGAAAUUCCCUUUUGUUUAGGCAAUUUCAACAUCCCUGCAUUUACGGAGUCCACAGUUUCGCAAUCCAAUUGUUUCGUGCACUCAUAUAGGCUGCGAACACUCUCUGUAGAAUAAUUGGUUUAAUUUUGUAAUUUUUCACUUAAUUAGAUUUGCAAAUAAAGUAAAAUAUAACGCUGAGGAGAAAAGUGGUAUCUUUAAAUUUUAGCAUUAAAAGCAAUUACAGCAGGAAAAUUACAGCAGGUAGUGGGUGGCAUACUGACCUACAAUAUUUUGAAGAGUGGCAGUUCGACCACAGCAAAAAUACCAGUUAAAACCAACCACCCAUUUAUUGUAUAAACCACACGAAGCCGCAAAAUUGUAGAAAUUUCCAAAAAUAGUACAAAAUACUAGUCUACAGACUGUAUGCGAUAAUGGCAGACAAUUGAGGGAUAAGACGCAUGCCUAAACACUGGAAACUGUGAUGCAAAUAACGAACAUCCAUAACAUUCUGUUCAUAAAUAUGAGGCAAUGACUCGAAAGGUAAUAAGUCUGGCUGACAUGUGUCACGCGGAAUAUCCGACUCUUUAGGAUUCAAUGACAGAUCCAUGGAGUCAAUUAAAUUAUCUAUAGCAUCGAUUUGCUCUUUUGUACAUUCCGUUUUUAGAGUACGAAGGCGUGGAAAUUGAAAGUACUGAUAUUGCGAAUGAUAAGCGAUCUCGACCAUGGUCAGUGAGGCAGGCCUAUCGGUAUGGAGCUUUAAAAAGUAAUAGAUUGCAUAUGUACACUAUGUUAUGAAAAUGAAUAAAUGCAUUACUAUUACCUUA